AUUGAACGCUGGCGGCAUGCCUUACACAUGCAAGUCGAACGGCAGCACGGGUGCUUGCACCUGGUGGCGAGUGGCGAACGGGUGAGUAAUACAUCGGAACAUGUCCUGUAGUGGGGGAUAGCCCGGCGAAAGCCGGAUUAAUACCGCAUACGAUCUACGGAUGAAAGCGGGGGACCUUCGGGCCUCGCGCUAUAGGGUUGGCCGAUGGCUGAUUAGCUAGUUGGUGGGGUAAAGGCCUACCAAGGCGACGAUCAGUAGCUGGUCUGAGAGGACGACCAGCCACACUGGGACUGAGACACGGCCCAGACUCCUACGGGAGGCAGGAGUUGGGAAUUUUGGACAAAGGGGCAAAGCCUUAUCCAGCAAUGCCGCGUGUGUUAAGAAGGCCUUCGGGUUGUAAAGCACUUUUUUCCGGAAAGAAAUCCUUGGGCCUAAAACGGUCGGGGGAUGACGGUACCGGAAGAAUAAGCACCGGCUAACUACGUG
rnacentral:rRNA from 1 species